CUUAUUAUUCCGUUAAUAGUAGCCUAAAGAAACGUGCGAGGGGAGUAAUCCCGUGUGGUGUGUAGCUUCGUUGACAAAACACCUGCCUGACAUAUGCAAAUUUUUUCGAGAUUUUUAGGGUGUAAUUAAUUUUGUUACGAACUCAUUC
rfam:Proteiniphilum acetatigenes MPI_scaffold_703, whole genome shotgun sequence.